ensembl:lncRNA novel transcript
GUUGUGGGAGCCAUUGGCCGAGACUGGAGAGAGGAGACAAGGAGACGGAUUCCCUUUGUGUGUUCCCAGCACCUACCAACAUAAAGACUGAAAGCUGUUGGACUCAUGCUCAAAAGAAUCAUAGGCAAGUUGUGUUUGUCCCAUUAAGCUAACAUUUAAAAAUCAGAAGAUUUUAUCCAAAAGAUGGAUUUCCAACUUCUUUUGAAUGAUCUGGUAACAUGGGACUGUAGUCUCAGAAUGGAAAAACAGCUGACCUUUAAAGAUAAGAUGGCGUCUCUGGCAGCCAGGCUGGAACGCGGUGGGUGAUCUCGGCUCACUGCAACCUUUG